GGGAGUGUAGCUCAGUGGUAGAGCAUGUGCUUUGCAUGUAUGAGGCCUAGGUUCAACUCCUGGUACCUUCA
rnacentral:tRNA from 1 species